rnacentral:lncRNA from 1 species
CUGAUCUCCAGGCUGGGCCUGGUGUGGGCACCUCAAACCACCGGGAGGUGCGCAGGGUGGGCGAAGGGAGAAAGGGGGGUUUCUCCAACAGAGUAUGAAGGUCCCCCUCAAAGAGGCCCUCCUCUGUCACCUGGGGAGGGGGGAAAUUAGCUCUCCCAAGACACUCUUUAUCCUAUUUCCUUGUAUUUUCUCCACGGAUACUUUCAUUCUCUGAAAUAAUAUUAUUCAUUUGUUUUAAUGUUCAUUACCUGCACUCCCCCCAGGUUCAUUCUUCACGGCCUAUGGCCUACUUUGCUCACUGAAGGAUUUAUUUCUUGCACAAUGGACUGAAUGAAAAACUCCUUUGCAAAGAAUAUGUGCAAAGUGGCUAUCAAACAGUGAGAACAUCACGUUCCUCUGGGUUCGACAAUUCUAAAUUCUAACUUGCAGAAAAGAGCUAGUUCGGUCAGUGGAAACGGGGGAAGCAGACGGGCUCUCGGGGUUCAGAACAGGUGAGAAGUAACGCACUCUCGUCCCUUCUCUCUUGUCUCCCGGCCUCAGCUCCACUCAUUUGAGGAAAGUGGAAAGCUUUUCCAGCCGCAAAAGGGAGCCGCGCGCUCAGAUGCUCCUCCGCAGGCCGCGUCUAGCCGCGCGCGCCAGCCGAGCCGAGCCCGGGCUGUGGGUGGGAAGAAACCGGGAGGGGAGGUCUGGGGUGUGAGGGUGGAGCGGAGCCCGGCCCCGCGAUCCGGCCCUGGUUUUGCAUGCCACCCACUCGCCCGCUCGGCCGCGGAGAAUUCCAUAAUCACAGCGGGCGAGAGCGGAGACUGGGAGCGAAAAAUCCGGGAUCCGGCAACUUUGGGCAGCGCAUGCGCACCCGCGGCGCUCCAUCCCAAACACACACACAUUUUUCCCCCGGACUUGGAAAGUCACCCAAAGCCGCCCCAAGUGCAGACAGACAGACCUUGCUGACUGAAGGCAAAGACCCUCUCCACCCCACCUGCCCUUCCAGCUGUCACGGCCAUCAACCCCUCCUGUAGAAGGAGGUCCUGCAGCUCCAGUGGUCUGCGUUGGAAUGGACUUUGGACCCCGGCCUCUUGGGAUGCAAAGGUAGCUGCUCCCGAUUCCCAAGAUAUCACUAGGAAAUGUGGCUAGGGUCUCUGGUUGGCCAGCUUGGGGGUUCCUCCUUAGGGGAAGGACUGCGUAGGCUGUUCUCACUGAGUUCUGACCUGGGUGGUGGUAGCUCAGGCACCCCAGGUGAAAGUGAGAAAAGAGCCCUGGCCUUGCAAUGGGACACCUGUAUACUGGCCAUGGCUUCGCUGUUGACUCACUUUCUCCCCUCUGGAUCUGUUUCCCCACCCGUAAAGUAAAGAGAUUGCAAAACUGACCUUUAAGAAUCCUCCCAGCAUUACUAUUGUAUGACAUUGAAUGGUGCCAACAGCAUACAGGUAUUCCAGGUGAGGCCUGAGCCCUAGCAGACAGCACUCCUGGAGCUAAGCAUCGGGUCAUUUCUGAACAUCAUCUCUGGGAACGGUAGGUCCAGCCCAUCAGCGUGUCCAGAGGCUGCUGCUCUGCUCUGAGCUCAUGUGUGACUUCUUGGGGCUCUCUUGGUGGUCCUCCAGCCCAGGCAGAACCCUCCUUAAAGGAGAAGCCACAGGGUGUGUUGAUCCAGGCUCAGAAAUUGCCCCUGGCCAUAAGGCAGGUCACUUUUGCCUGGGAUUGGUAGUCUGUGGGGCUGGUACUGUCAGAUAUUUACCUGCAGGUAUCAAACGAGGCAGUUCUUAGGGUGGGAGGUUGACACAUAACAGGUAACUUACCACAUAUUGGUCAUUGUUCAGUAUUCUCUUAAGAUCCUGAGGGAAUCAGCCCAGUGAGGUUGGGUGUUCACAAAGUGGAGGGGCAAGGUCUUGGGGCAGGGGCUGAGGCUGAGGGCCUAGAGAACAGGUGGACCGGCAGGGCUGGGGGCCAGUCCUCCUGAGUGUGUCAGAUGGGAGUCAGCAGCCCUGGCUCACU